rnacentral:rRNA from 1 species
UAUCUAACUUUUUGGAAGAAGUCGUCGAAGGUGGAAUCAAUAACUGGGGUGAAGUCGUAACAAGGUAGCCGUAUCGGAAGGUGCGGCUGGAUCACCUCCUUUCUAAGGAGA